GCACAGAGCCCGACGCAGGGCUUGAACCCACAAGCUGUGAGAUCGUGACCUGAGCUGAAGUCGGAGGCUUAACCGACUGAGCCACCCAGGGGCCCCUAUGUUGAUAGUUUUUAUGUAUCAUGGGGAAGAAUUUUAUAGAGUCCACUGUUUAUGUGCUUUCAGUACACAUUUCAUUCAUUUCCAAAGCUGCUUAGGUUAGCACUUUCUGCCCCGGCACCUACAGUGAGUUUCUUCAUACAUUUCUAGUACAGUUAGAUUAUGUAUCACAUUCUGGAUUAUAUCUUGUGACAAUCCCACAUCCUAAAUGAUUCAGUUGGAAUAAUCAUGAUGUAGUCUUUGGGCUGGAAACAUCUAUGAGUUUUGCCAAAUGCGUAGUGGCACAUACCUAUCACUAAAAUAUACGGAAUACCUUGAACUCUAACUACAUGAUCUGUUUAUCAUCUCUGUAGUUUUGCCGUUUCCAGAAUGUCCUAUAAACGGGGCCAUACAGUACGUAGCCUCUUCAGACUGGACUCUUUUACUUCGCAAAAUGUGUGUACGAUUCAUCCAUGUCUUUGUAAGGGGUGAUGGAUCAUUCGUUUCUACUGCUGAGUAGUAGUGCCUUGCAUGUAUAGGUGACUAAAAAUAAUUUUUCUUUACUUUUCUAGGUUCUUGGCUGAGACUACUUCUUGUGAUAAAAGAUUAACAGGAGAAAAACAGAAGUGUAAUUGUGUGUUUGCAUCCUGUAUACGUGGGACAUACUCAGGAAAACUGAUUAACUUCCCCAAAUGGCUGAAGUAAUCACUUGGAAUGUUUCAGUAGUCGGAAGGCCGAUUAAGGGAGGCUAUCAGACCAAGCAAGAGUAUAUGAGGGGCUACAGCAACGAGCCAUAUGUGGGUCUGGAAGUCACGAACUGCCAGAUCAUGAGACCUGAGCCAAAGUUGGACACUCAAAUGACUGAGCGACCUGCCUUCACAGUUUUGCACUUUAAAUGGAUCUGCAAUUUUGAGUGAAAUCUGGUGUAAGUUGC